AUGUCUCCGAGACGAAUAGAGCACAGGGGGAGGGGCGUGCUGUGUGAAGAAGAAGAGGCAAGAACGACCCCCGGAACGACCAAAGCCCGCGCACCGCUGCACCCCCGCGUCCAGCGCCUACGUCCCACCGCCAUCGCCGCCAUGCCCAAGAGAAAGGCUGAAGGGGAUGCUAAAGGAGAUAAAGCAAAGGUGAAAGAUGAACCACAGAGAAGAUCUGCAAGAUUGUCUGCUAAACCUGCUCCUCCAAAGCCAGAGCCCAAUUAGGCACAGAAAGCUGAAAGUGCUGGAGAUGCCAAGUGAAGUGUGUGCAUUUUUGAUAACUGUGUACUUCUGGUGACUGUACAGUUUGAAAUACUAUUUUUUAUCAAGUUUUAUAAAAAUGCAGAAUUUUGUUUUACUUUUUUUUUUUUUUUUAAGCUAUGUUGUUAGCACACAGAACACUUCAUUGUUGUUGUUUUGGGGGGAAGGGGCAUAUGUCACUAAUAGAAUGUCUCCAAAGCUGGAUUGAUUUGGGGAAAAUGCCUUUCCCUUCUAGUUUUGAGAGACUUCCUCUUGGCUCCCAGGAGGAGGGAUUCCCUGACACUGGCACAAAUAGCCACCUUGGCACAAAUGCCCUGUGGUGUGGAAAAACUAAAAUUUGUUUUUAUGCCCUCUUCUCCCUUUCCGCCUUCAGCAUAGACCUAACUCCCUUAAGCUCAGAGACCUGUUGGGACCUGACCCUCAGAAAUUGGUUACCAUUAUGUCAGGCAAUCUGGACUUUCCAGUAAUGCCACUGAGAUGGCAUCCCUCAAGAGAGCAGCAAUUCCUUUUCAACAUUGUGGAUAUUGAGAUUAAUUCUGCCAUUUUCAUUUCAUUUCCUGAAAGUCAGGGUCGGCUUGUGAAAAGUUGUUAAACAACAUUCUAAAUGUGAAAUGUCAACCCUCACUCUAAACUUUCCGUGUUCGGAGCAUCAGAUGAAGACUUCAUUGGGUUUUAUAGUGGCUUUAUGAUUUUGGUAGUCCAUUGAAGAAGGGAGUUUGAAAGUUGUUGUAUACUGUUAACGAUUGUCUGCCCAUGUCCUGCCUGAAAUACCAUGGUUGUUUAUGAAAAGUAUCUUUAAUAAAGCUGGAUACAGUUUGGCUUGGAA